rnacentral:lncRNA from 1 species
AAACGAUAAGGAAGUGAAAUGAUAAGUAAAAGUAUGAAAGAAGGAUGUUAAGGUUAAGCAUGGGUGGGAAAGCAUAUAGAGAGUCUAAGGUUUGUAGGUGGGGUAAGUGGUCCAAGCUAGGUAUCCAUAGGAGAUGUGGCGAAUCCACAUGAAUAUGGAAGCACCCAUAGGAGAUGUGGCGAAUCCACAUGAAUAUGGGGUAGAAGCCUAGUGGGGGGCUACCCACUGAGGAAAAGAGGAAAAGAGGAAAAGAGGAAAAGAUGAAAAGUUGAAAAGGAUGUGCAUUGUAGGGUUUUAGCUCAUGGUCGGGUAACGGGGAGUUAAAGGUGUCAUAGGGUCGGGUCGGACGGACAAGAGGAGUCGGUUAAGUCUAGGGUUUGACGCGUGUGGCAAUGAGUGAGAUCAUUGUAUUGAUUGAUCGCUAGGUUGUUAGAAAUGAAUGGAAGUGAUUGUGGAAAUUGCAGAUAACAUUAGGAAAUGAUGAAAAUGCAUUAACUGAUUGUAGUGGCUAGUCAGUCCUAGUUCCCGCAUGGAGUAGUAUAGAGUGUCAUGCGGGCAGGCUGGUCUAGAACCACUUCACUGAGUAACUUGUUGCUCACCCCUCCAUUUCCAUUUUUCCUGUGCGCAGGACUGUAAGUAGAAGUAUAUGGAUGUGGGUAUGACGGUAUUUCAAAGAAGGUUAUGCGCUCGUCUCUCGGGACCAGUAACGGGACACGUAGGGUUGUCUAGAUGAGUAGACACGUGUCCAUAACGCCCCUUCGAUAACCCCGGUCGGACUCCGGGGAAUCGGGCUGUUACAAUUGGUAUCAGAGCGGGUUAAGAUCCCUUAGUUCUGUCCUAAGGGAUCGGCAUUUCCGACGUUUAAAAAAAAAAAAAAAAAAAAAAAAAAAAAAAAAAAAAUAUUUUUAUAUAUUUCGUUUUCGGAAAAAAAAAAAAAAAAAAAAAAAAAAAAAAAAAAAAAUUUUGCAAUAUUACUAAGUAUUUUCGGAUUGUGAAAGAAUUAAUUGAAAAUCCCACUAUACCCAUACUUCUAUUAUGGUUCUGAUUGAAAUUUUAUUGCAGGAUGUUUUCGCUUGACCAUUACGAGUGGAGGAUGCCGCGUAUGCACUACGGACGGAGGAACACCAGGGAGUAUGCCCAAAGGCGUCACUAUGACAGGGAGGGUAACUUGGUGCUACCCAUGUUUCCGGAUCCUGAAGAACAGUACAGGGAGUUCCCAUUCAGGUACCCGCACGAGCAGACUGUGAGGCAUAAGGUGUUGAUGCCUCAUUUCCAGAGGAUGGCUAUGGAGACACGCCUACUGCAGGGCAAUGCGAGGUUCCAGCUUGCAACCGAAGAGGGACCCCCGAGGAAGCGUGGCCGUCCCUGCAAGACGCCAAGUGCAGCAGGGGGAACCCCAAGGGCGUUCACCGGGAAGUGCCAGUGUGGAGUGCUGAGCAAGAAUGCUCAGGAGGACCGAUCAGUCGCUGGAUACACGGAGGACUUCAUCAACCAAGCCAAGCUGUGCAAACCGAAGAAUGCAGAGACGUGGUGCAUAUGGUAUAAGAACGGGCUACGCCAGGAGCUCCAGGCGCAGCUGAGGGGUGUUUUGGAGCCCUUGGAGUUCGCGUUAGUGAGGCGGAUGGCAGGUUUCGCCAUGGAGGCAGAAGAGAAGAUUGCAGCCGAUAAGGCCGCUCUCUCGAGCAUGGAAGGAGGAAACCCGGGUGGGGACGUCGAUGGCCAUGAGGUGCCGGUAGGGACACCCGCUAAGGGAAAGCGGGGGCGUCCGCGAAAACCACCUGCAGUAACAUGUGAUUGUGACGUACUGGUCCAGAUGGUUCAGAAGCCACGCAAGGUGAGAGAUUACCUGGAGGAGUUCUUGGAUACGGCCAAGAUGUGUCAACCGAAGCCAGCUGAGGAGUGGUGUCAUCUGUUUAGGGCCGGGCUACGUGGGGAUAUUCGUGAAGAACUCGUGGGAGUCCUGGAGCCUCUGGAAUUUGCACUGGUGAGAAGGAUGGCUAACCAAGCACUGCAUGCGGAGGAGUGGUUGGCGGGAAAGGAGGCGGAGGCCGAGGAGGACCGCGUCGCAGAGGGCGAUGAAGACCUGGGAUCCGAGUCCCGCUGCCCCUCGCCAUGUCAAUGUGGCUAGACGAGAUCCUAGAGACGAUUCGUAGGAGUAGGACACGUGUUUCGCUAUUGGUUUUAUUUCAUUUUAUUGGUUAUUGGAGUUGGUGUUCCUUCCCUUAUUUACGGCAUUCUGUAUUGUGCAGAUGUGCUGGGUUUUCUUUUACAAACUAUUGUAGUCCUACUCCUUUUAUUAUUUAUGACAUUCCUUCGUUGGUUUUAAAGAUCCCAGUAGAGUUAUCGUGUCAUGUAUGCCUCCCUUGAUUGUUGUGUGAAUGUGUGAAUCCAUUUUGGUAACGAACGAUUGGUCUGAAAGAUGUGGGCUUUGGAAUUCGGGGACGAAUUCCGAUUAACGGGGGAGGAUUGUAACGGCCCGGUUCCUGGCCCAUAAAAAUUUCCCAAAGAAUAUGGGCUUCUCUACGGCCCAUUUAGCAAAACCCUAGGGCUUCCCCUUCCCUUUACUAUAAAAAGAGAUGCAGUCUCCCUUUUCGCCUCAUCACAAAUCUGAAGCGAAGCUCUGCAGAGAAUUCCCGGAGGUCGAAAACCCUAGCCGUCGAGCUCUCUCUCCUUCUCUCCUGCGCCGUCUCUCUCUCUCUCUCUCUCUCCCGCGCGUCGCUCUCUCUCUCUCCCGCGCGUCGCUCUCUCUCUCUCUCUCUCGCCGUCGCACGCUCUCUCUCUCUCUCCCUCUCGCCGGCGCCGUGAAGUGGUGGUGCUGACCAGAUCUCAACCUUCUCAAAUCCUCGUUUCCAGAUCCAGAUCCAGAUCUAAGACUAAGGUGGAGUGUUUCGAACCCAACCUUCUUUCAUGGUUCUGUAUACUCCUUUAUGUUGGAGUUAGGCUUGAUUAGACCCUGAUUGGGAGUUAGGUUGAUAGGACAUGGUAUUGCUAGGAUGAUAGAUGAAUGAAUCAUGAUGCAUAAGAACCCUCAUACUGAUAAAUGGGACUUGAUGAACUGAAUUGAAUUGUCGUGGUAAUGAUUGAUUGGUAGUUGAUACUUGUAUGUUUGGUUGUGUUGUCCCAUGUGUUGUUGUGAUUGAAGUUAGGAUGCUAGAGAGGAACAAAUGCUAGGAUGAUAGAUGAGCAAUGAUUAUAAACGUUAUUGAAGUAGAACUUGAAUGCGAUGUGUAUUGUGUGUGACACCGAUAACGGGUGGCGUCUAGUGAUUUAGUCCAAGUUCAAGUAUGAAUGAAAAGGGAAAGUAAUUGGGAAUGGGGAGGAUUAAGUGAAAACGAUAAGGAAGUGAAAUGAUAAGUAAAAGUAUGAAAGAAGGAUGUUAAGGUUAAGCAUGGGUGGGAAAGCAUAUAGAGAGUCUAAGGUUUGUAGGUGGGGUAAGUGGUCCAAGCUAGGUAUCCAUAGGAGAUGUGGCGAAUCCACAUGAAUAUGGAAGCACCCAUAGGAGAUGUGGCGAAUCCACAUGAAUAUGGGGUAGAAGCCUAGUGGGGGGCUACCCACUGAGGAAAAGAGGAAAAGAGGAAAAGAGGAAAAGAUGAAAAGUUGAAAAGGAUGUGCAUUGUAGGGUUUUAGCUCAUGGUCGGGUAACGGGGAGUUAAAGGUGUCAUAGGGUCGGGUCGGACGGACAAGAGGAGUCGGUUAAGUCUAGGGUUUGACGCGUGUGGCAAUGAGUGAGAUCAUUGUAUUGAUUGAUCGCUAGGUUGUUAGAAAUGAAUGGAAGUGAUUGUGGAAAUUGCAGAUAACAUUAGGAAAUGAUGAAAAUGCAUUAACUGAUUGUAGUGGCUAGUCAGUCCUAGUUCCCGCAUGGAGUAGUAUAGAGUGUCAUGCGGGCAGGCUGGUCUAGAACCACUUCACUGAGUAACUUGUUGCUCACCCCUCCAUUUCCAUUUUUCCUGUGCGCAGGACUGUAAGUAGAAGUAUAUGGAUGUGGGUAUGACGGUAUUUCAAAGAAGGUUAUGCGCUCGUCUCUCGGGACCAGUAACGGGACACGUAGGGUUGUCUAGAUGAGUAGACACGUGUCCAUAACGCCCCUUCGAUAACCCCGGUCGGACUCCGGGGAAUCGGGCUGUUACA